rnacentral:rRNA from 1 species
GACGAACGCUGGCGGCGUGGAUUAGGCAUGCAAGUACGAACGGUAUCAUCCUUUCGGGGGUGAGAGAGUGGCGAACUGGUGAGUAACACGUAGGUUAUCUACCCUCAAGACGGGACAACCCAGGGAAACUUGGGCUAAUACCGGAUGUGAGCAACUUUUAGUUGUUUGAAAGGUGGCGUAAGCUGUCGCUUGGGGAUGAGCCUGCGUCCUAUUAGUUAGUUGGUGAGGUAACGGCUCACCUAGGCAAUGAUAGGUAGGCGGCCUUAACGGGUGGUCGCCCACACUGGGAUUGAGAUACGGCCCAGACUCCUACGGGAGGCAGCAGUCGAGAAUAGUCUACAAUGGUCGGAAGACUGAUAGUGCGACGCCGCGUGAACGAUGAAUCCCUUCGGGGUGUAAAGUUCUUUUAUAUGUGAGCAGUGCUUCUUAUAUUAACAGUAUGGGGAGAGAGAUAUUAGCAUAUGAAUAAGCAACGGCUAACUCCGUG